rnacentral:tRNA from 1 species
GAGGAUAUAGCUCAGUGGUAGAGUACAUGCUUAGCAUGCACGAGGUCCUGGGUUCGACCCCCAGUACCAUUA